CCCGGUGUGAAAAAAAUCCGAAGUGCCCGGCUUGGCUUACAAUGAUGACCAAGAUCGGAGAUGUUCAGGAGAUCACCGACGAAGGAAAUAGAGAAAAGAUCGGUUGCUUGUGCACGGGAGCGAUGGUGGAGGGAAUAGGAGUUCGACAUGGAGGGGAUUUCUAGUGAUGCGAUCUCUGACGAUGAUCUCCAGUGAAGAUGUAUCGAUGAUUACGAACGACAAUAGAGUGGGAUUAGGGCUUUCACG
rnacentral:lncRNA from 1 species